GAUGAACGCUGGCGGCGUGCCUAAUACAUGCAAGCCGAGCGAACGGACGAGAAGCUUGCUUCUCUGAUGUUAGCGGCGGACGGGUGAGUAACACGUGGAUAACCUACCUAUAAGACUGGGAUAACUUCGGGAAACCGGAGCUAAUACCGGAUAAUAUUUUGAACCGCAUGGUUCAAAAGUGAAAGACGGUCUUGCUGUCACUUAUAGAUGGAUCCGCGCUGCAUUAGCUAGUUGGUAAGGUAACGGCUUACCAAGGCAACGAUGCAUAGCCGACCUGAGAGGGUGAUCGGCCACACUGGAACUGAGACACGGUCCAGACUCCUACGGGAGGCAGCAGUAGGGAAUCUUCCGCAAUGGGCGAAAGCCUGACGGAGCAACGCCGCGUGAGUGAUGAAGGUCUUCGGAUCGUAAAACUCUGUUAUUAGGGAAGAACAUAUGUGUAAGUAACUGUGCACAUCUUGACGGUACCUAAUCAGAAAGCCACGGCUAACUACGUGCCAGCAGCCGCGGUAAUACGUAGGUGGCAAGCGUUAUCCGGAAUUAUUGGGCGUAAAGCGCGCGUAGGCGGUUUUUUAAGUCUGAUGUGAAAGCCCACGGCUCAACCGUGGAGGGUCAUUGGAAACUGGAAAACUUGAGUGCAGAAGAGGAAAGUGGAAUUCCAUGUGUAGCGGUGAAAUGCGCAGAGAUAUGGAGGAACACCAGUGGCGAAGGCGACUUUCUGGUCUGUAACUGACGCUGAUGUGCGAAAGCGUGGGGAUCAAACAGGAUUAGAUACCCUGGUAGUCCACGCCGUAAACGAUGAGUGCUAAGUGUUAGGGGGUUUCCGCCCCUUAGUGCUGCAGCUAACGCAUUAAGCACUCCGCCUGGGGAGUACGACCGCAAGGUUGAAACUCAAAGGAAUUGACGGGGACCCGCACAAGCGGUGGAGCAUGCGGUUUAAUUCGAAGCAACGCGAAGAACCUUACCAAAUCUUGACAUCCUUUGACAACUCUAGAGAUAGAGCCUUCCCCUUCGGGGGACAAAGUGACAGGUGGUGCAUGGUUGUCGUCAGCUCGUGUCGUGAGAUGUUGGGUUAAGUCCCGCAACGAGCGCAACCCUUAAGCUUAGUUGCCAUCAUUAAGUUGGGCACUCUAAGUUGACUGCCGGUGACAAACCGGAGGAAGGUGGGGAUGACGUCAAAUCAUCAUGCCCCUUAUGAUUUGGGCUACACACGUGCUACAAUGGACAAUACAAAGGGCAGCGAAACCGCGAGGUCAAGCAAAUCCCAUAAAGUUGUUCUCAGUUCGGAUUGUAGUCUGCAACUCGACUACAUGAAGCUGGAAUCGCUAGUAAUCGUAGAUCAGCAUGCUACGGUGAAUACGUUCCCGGGUCU
rnacentral:rRNA from 1 species